AAACUAUCUUGCCUCCUUCUCUCCUUGAAGUCCGUUCUUCCUUGUGAUCGAUCAUUCUCGCUUUCUGCUACAAACUUCCUCUGUUUUUCUUCUUUCUUCUCUCUCUCUGUGAUUAUCUCUAUUUUUUUUUUUUAUCAGAAUGAACGGGAAGGCCUCUGUUUCCAAGGAUCAAUACAAAUCGAAACUUCUAUCGGUCCAAGUUGCUUAUCUACAUCUAAGGAAACUCUCUUCGUAGAUCAACAUGGACGCUCCAAGAUGUAGAUAAGCAAGAAUAUUGUAACAUUGAUGUUUUGAAACAACUCAGAAUCAAAGGCGACUGUAUAAAUCGGAUUUGCGUUUCCGCAAUUGGACGGUGAUGAAGAUCGUUAGAAAUACAUAUGCAGGUGGGGGGGAAGGGAAGGUUCGUACACUCAGUUAUUGCAAGGCAUCUUCACAAAAGAAACCAUCGAUGUUCGAACAAUAAAGCUAAGUGCUUUCCUUACUGAAAAGCCAUAUUAGAAAUUAUUUCCUUUAUAUUUGUUGUGUGAAGAAUUAUGAUUAUGUAAUGCUUGAAACUUUAAUAUCUUGUAAAUCAGAAGCUUUAUAAUAGGUGUCGUUUGAAGAAACUGGAAACACGUUCGACCCUAUUACUGAUGUGCAUUCUAUUGUGGUUUUCUCGUUCGUAUUGUCUACAACAGACUAAGGAAACAGAGCCAGACAUAAAUAUUUCCCCUCGAAGAAACACCUCCUCACAACUGGCCGCCCAUUGUGAACUAACUGUAUCCAACUUGGUAUAAGCUUUCGUCGCCGACUUCUUUUUGAUCCUUUUCCUCGGAGAAACCCAGCAGCUUUCACCUCUUUAGCUUCUCCUCUGUGACGUCAACGAAUCAUAAUCGUGAUCCAUAAAGCUCUAUCAUUUAGUGCAAUAACUAUAUAAUCUAUCUCUUCCCCUCCGAUUUUGCUGAGAAGAAAAUGACGUAAAAUCUAUCUUUUCGAGGUUCUGCCAAUGUCAUCAACUCUAGAUCAAGUAGGCUCUCGUCUCUCCCCCUCUAAAUUUGUUUUAUAAUCUAUAUGCAAGUUCUUUCUGUAUUUGGUUAUUCACUCUUGUGUGUAUUUGAUUCACGCCUUUGCCUCUUUUUAAUUCUCUAUUUUUUUUUUAUUCUUUCUUUUGCCUCUUUCUGAUUAUACCUUCAUGAUUUUUAUUUUGGGAACUUUUGUUCAUUAUUUGAUUUUCGAUUCUACUAGUGUUUCCUGAAAAUCGAGUGACUUGUAUAUUUAUUUUUCACAAUCGUUUCUUCUGGUUCUGUAGAAAAUUGAAAUUGCUGUUUAGCUGCUUCGUAAUUAUUAUUCUUCUUACGUUUGAUGAUUUGUCUUUGAAUCGAUCUGAGCUUGUUAUAUUUUUUAUUUAUUUUGUCAACUUGUGACCUUUGA